GAUGAACGCUAGCGACAGGCUUAACACAUGCAAGUCGAGGGGCAGCAUAAAAGUAGCAAUACUUUGGUGGCGACCGGCGCACGGGUGAGUAACGCGUAUGCAACCUACCUAUCAGAGGGGAAUAACCCGGCGAAAGUCGGACUAAUACCGCAUAAAACAGGGGCACCGCAUGGUGAUAUUUGUUAAAGAGAUUCGCUGAUAGAUGGGCAUGCAUUCCAUUAGGUAGUUGGUGAGGUAACGGCUCACCAAGCCGACGAUGGAUAGGGGAACUGAGAGGUUGGUCCCCCACACUGGUACUGAGACACGGACCAGACUCCUACGGGAGGCAGCAGUGAGGAAUAUUGGUCAAUGGGCGAGAGCCUGAACCAGCCAAGUCGCGUGAAGGAAGAAGGAUCUAUGGUUCGUAAACUUCUUUUGCAGGGGAAUAAAGUGCAGGACGUGUCCUGUUUUGUAUGUACCCUGAGAAUAAGGAUCGGCUAACUCCGUGCCAGCAGCCG
rnacentral:rRNA from 1 species